UACAGAGGGUGCAAGCGUUGCUCGGAAUUAUUGGGCGUAAAGGGCAGGUAGGUGGUCUCGUUUGUCUAGGGUGAAAGCCUUGAGCUUAACUCAAGAAGUGCCCUAGAAACGGCGAGACUAGAGUUCUGGAGAGGGUCGUGGAAUUCCCAGUGUAGCGGUGAAAUGCGUAGAGAUUGGGAGGAACACCAGAGGCGAAAGCGGCGACCUGGACAGAUACUGACACUCAACUGCGAAAGCGUGGGGAGCAAACAGG
rnacentral:rRNA from 1 species